GGAUGGGUGGCAGAGCGGUUUAAUGCAGCGGUCUUGAAAACCGCCGAAGGCUAAUACCUUCCGUGAGUUCGAAUCUCACCCCAUCCG
rnacentral:tRNA from 1 species